rnacentral:tRNA from 1 species
GCCGGUUUAGCACAGUGGUAGUGCGUUGCACUUGUACUUCGAGACAUGCAAAGGUCGCUUGUUCGAUCCAGGCAAUCGGCA